rnacentral:snRNA from 1 species
GUGCUUGCUUUGUCAGCUCAUAUACUAAAAUUGGAAUGAUACAGAGAAGAUUAGCAUCACCCGGUGCAAGGAUGACAUGCAAAUUUAUGAAGUGUUCCAUAUUUUG